GAACGCGAAGAACCUUACCCGGGAUUGAAAUGUAGAUGACCGCUCCUGAAAGGGAGUUUUCCUUCGGGACAUCUAUGUAGGUGCUGCAUGGUUGUCGUCAGCUCGUGCCGUGAGGUGUCGGCUUAAGUGCCAUAACGAGCGCAACCCCUGUCUACGGUUGCCAUCAGGUGAUGCUGGGAACUCCGUAGAGACUGCCGUCGUAAGGCGUGAGGAAGGUGGGGAUGACGUCAAAUCAGCACGGCCCUUACAUCCGGGGCGACACACGUGUUACAAUGGUAAGGACAAAGGGCAGCUACCUGGCGACAGGAUGCGAAUCUCUAAACCUUAUCACAGUUCGGAUCGGAGUCUGCAACUCGACUCCGUGAAGCUGGAUUCGCUAGUAAUCGCGCAUCAGCCAUGGCACGGUGAAUACGUUCCCGGGUCUUGUACACACC
rnacentral:rRNA from 1 species